rfam:Blastochloris viridis isolate 1 genome assembly, chromosome: I
CCUGGUGGUUCUAGCGGGAGGCCUGAACCCGAUCCCAUCCCGAACUCGGCCGUUAAACCUCCCAGCGCCGAUGGUACUAAGUCUUAAGACUUGGAGAGUAGGUCGCUGCCAGGC